AGAGAAUGGGCUUCAUCACAAAAGUCCUGGCGCAAGCUGCCUCCUCCCACUAGUACAGCAGUCCUCGGAGACCCUAUCUUGCCAAAGAGAGUGUAGAGAGGCCAUCUAGUUCUAGCUACCUCUGAAGCCUCCUGCACACACUGACCCACUAUCCCAACCUCCCAGUUAUCAUGAUGUCUCUUGUUCUUUGGGUAAUCAGUGGUUUGCUGAAGUAUUCCUUGUUUAAAUUUUGAAUCUUACCUGCGGAUAACCAAAUUUUUCUACAACUUAAGUUCUCCAAAGUCAAAGCUAGCCUGGAUUUGAAAAUGGAAAACACUUCUGUAAAAUGCUUCCAUUGGGGUUUUGGUGGUGACAAAACAGAAAAGGGAGAGAUCAGCACUACUGUAAAGCAGCCUACAACAACACAAAGGAUAAGUUCUCAUUUGCAAAUUACUCAAGACAAAUCCAGAUGGAGGGGCAUCUCUGGAGCCUUGCAAGAAUCACCCAUAUCCUCUACCAACAGCAAGAGACUUCGGGAUUUACAGACAACUUCCAGAAGAGGAAAUGGGAAGGCAGCCAUCAACCUCAAGAGGACAAGGAAAGAAAUACGUUUUCUGGAAAAUCCUAAUGAGGACAUUGAAAAAGUGCACAGUCAAAUGAAGAUCUGCCAGUAGACAAAAGGAAAGGAAAGCUUCAGAAAACUUACUACCAGAUUCCAAACACCUUUUGUUUUCUUAAAUUAAAGACAAGUGAUAAUAUUUUGCACAAGAA
rnacentral:lncRNA from 1 species